rnacentral:rRNA from 1 species
UUGCUCCCGGAUGUUAGCGGCGGACGGGUGAGUAACACGUGGGUAACCUGCCUGUAAGACUGGGAUAACUCCGGGAAACCGGAGCUAAUACCGGAUAGUUCCUUGAACCGCAUGGUUCAAGGAUGAAAGACGGUUUCGGCUGUCACUUACAGAUGGACCCGCGGCGCAUUAGCUAGUUGGUGAGGUAACGGCUCACCAAGGCGACGAUGCGUAGCCGACCUGAGAGGGUGAUCGGCCACACUGGGACUGAGACACGGCCCAGACUCCUACGGGAGGCAGCAGUAGGGAAUCUUCCGCAAUGGACGAAAGUCUGACGGAGCAACGCCGCGUGAGUGAUGAAGGUUUUCGGAUCGUAAAGCUCUGUUGUUAGGGAAGAACAAGUGCAAGAGUAACUGCUUGCACCUUGACGGUACCUAACCAGAAAGCCACGGCUAACUACGUGCCAGCAGCCGCGGUAAUACGUAGGUGGCAAGCGUUGUCCGGAAUUAUUGGGCGUAAAGGGCUCGCAGGCGGUUUCUUAAGUCUGAUGUGAAAGCCCCCGGCUCAACCGGGGAGGGUCAUUGGAAACUGGGAAACUUGAGUGCAGAAGAGGAGAGUGGAAUUCCACGUGUAGCGGUGAAAUGCGUAGAGAUGUGGAGGAACACCAGUGGCGAAGGCGACUCUCUGGUCUGUAACUGACGCUGAGGAGCGAAAGCGUGGGGAGCGAACAGG